CAAGAGGACCAAGAAAAGAUGACAAUGUAACUGAACCAGGUCCAACAUGAUCCCCAAAAUCAGUGAAUAUGACCGCAACCUUUUCAUUAGGAUUUUAAGCCACUCUACGCAUCUUUGUUGGUCCUCUUCUAUUUUUUUCUUUCACUUCAUCCGCAGGUAGCUGAACUCCUUCAGUAUUAGGAAUCUCAUCAUCUUGAGCAUUGGUAACUUCUUCUUCUUCUUCCAUAUUGAGAGUUUCUUCUUCAUUUUCUUUCUCAUUGUCAUAAUUCUCAUUCUCGAUGUCUUCAAUGUUGGCAGCUUCUUCUUCAUCUUCUUGCUCUCCCUGUCCAGUCAAACAUGCUUCUCCAUCUUUCUCAGAAUCUUCUUUAUCAUCUUCCUUAUCUUCCCCCGCAACAUCAUCAUCUUCCAUUGUUACAUCUUUCGGUGUUACAUCCUCUACCUCCUCA
rnacentral:lncRNA from 1 species